GUGAGUCAUCGAAUCUUUGAACGCACCUUGCGCUCCUUGGUAUUCCGAGGAGCAUGCCUGUUUGAGUGUCAUUAAAUUCUCAAUCUUACCAUCUUUUUUAGUUGGGAAAGACUUGGAUGUGGGGGGGAAAUUUUUUGGAGGUUUUUCGAAGCCUUCUCCCCUGAAAUGCAUUAGCUGGACGCUCGCGCGGACAGUCUAUUGGUGUGAUAAUUAUCUACGCCAUUAGCUGACUGCCAUUAGUAGCACCGCUUCUAACUGUCUUCGGACAAUAUAUGACAAUUUGACCUCAAAUCAGGUAGGACUACCCGCUGAACUUAAGCAUAUCAAUAAGCGGAGGA
rnacentral:misc_RNA from 1 species